ensembl:lncRNA
CGACAUUUUUCCAAGUCAAUACCUAUGGAUCUAACUCAUUUAAACAACAGCAAUAAACCAAAAAGCAAAGUGAUAGUCUUGUGUUAUGUGAAUGCACUGAAAAUUUACUUAACUGGUCCCUUGCCGUGUUUUCUACAUUCUGUUAUUAUGUAAUGCUGAUACCAACGUUCUUAAUAUAUAUGUAGUCGCACAAACGUUCUCACACACCCGUUUCUUGUCACCUGCCUUUGCUUGGUAAAGACUAAAAGACCAAUUACAUAGUCAAGUUUUCAGUCGUUUCCUUUAUGGCUUCUGAGCCUUGUAUUUUUAUACUUGAGUAACAUCUCAACUCUGAAAUGACAGAAUAAGAUGUCUUCCGUGCUUGCUUGCUUUCUGUUUUACUUUCACUGUUCCAGCUCACAGUUCACACAGCCCAGCCCCCUGCAGAAUCUCCCUUGCUCAGGUUGGCCUGCGGCCCUGCAGUCUCGCGGGGAGGGCCUCUCCGCCGCAGCCUUCCGCUCUCCGCCCGCCCUCGUCUGCCGCCUGGGCCGCUCCGCGAAGCCGCGUCGCGCUGUCCCGAGCGGGGAGCCCCCUCCGAGGCAGAGGCCCCGGGCGAGCUCGGGCGUUAGGGCGUUCGGCGCCGCUGCGGCCUGCCGGCAACUCGUCCUGAGGACACUCGAACCGGUUGUCGGGCGCCCCUGGCGGCCGCUUUCAGAGCGUUCCUUUCCUUCGGCGACCUUCAUAAGGGCUGAGACUCAGCCGGAGAAGACGGCGCAGAGCUCCAGAGGCCGGCAGCACUGGUGGCAAUAACCAUGGUGCUGCGGAGACCUGGGCAUGCCUGCUCCUGCUGAAGACUGGGUCUGCAGGUUUUCGUGAAGCGGCCUGGCGCUGUGGCCUUUGAGGGCGGGUUGUCGCUCGCUCUGGUCGACCAGCAUCUCCUCGCGGCCUUACAUCCGCGGGGCCUCGGAGCGAGCAGAGAAAGGGUCUGCGGCGCCGGAGUGCCUGUGGCUCGUCGGCCAAACUCCUGGGUCACCGUUAGGGGCCUUCGUCUCCCUCCGGGGUCCCCACUCUCCAGGCUCUGGUGCUUGGCCAGACCGGACGAGUAUGGGCUCGCAGGGCUCGUUGGCUGGCGCGCCUGGGCCCCGUCUCCGGGCCUGGACGCGUCCUGCUCCCUCGAACGGUCAGGCUUGCGUGGCGAGCACGGGCCGUGUCUUUAGAAGCUAGUCGGCGAUCCGGACGUUUCCUCCGCCCGCGGGGCUGCAUGGGGUACGGCUCGCAGCCAGGAGAGUAAAGUGCCCCGCGCGGUGUCCUGGAUCAGUAUUUUUUGUUUUCCCGCCUCGGCUGGGAGUAGCCGUGUCUCCGUCGGCGGACGGCGCAGGGUUCACGCCGGCCGUCCCUGGAUCCCGGGCGUCUUCCCCGGAGUGGAGCGUGGCCGGACACGCGGAACAAGGCGGCGCUGGGCUGCGCGCCCGGCCCUCCCAGCGGCACCGCGAUCCCCAGGCUAGGCUCUCCCAACCCCACGUCCUGAUCGCCUGGGGGCCCAGGUCCGCACCAGGGCUGGGCGGCGGGGGAGCUGCUCUCCGACGGCCGCUGUCGUAUCAAGCUCUGCGUUCGUCGGAAGCCGUGCUGCGUCAUCGCGGGGGCCGCCUGUAGUCUCUUCUGUUCCCCUUACGGGCUCGAAAGUUGUGUGAGCCACACACGAGUCCCUCGCCACGGGUGACAACAGGGAACGCGGUGGGCGAGCAAGGAGGUGGCCCAAUGCGCGGCUUUAGUCCUGCACGGGAUCGGUGGUCAGAGGCGCCAAAUGUUUGAGAUCCAGAAAACGGCCCGGGCCCUCCACUGAGGGUACCAAGGAGACGCGAGCCUGGCGCGGUGUGUAGUCCUGGAAGGGCGUCUGAACGCGCGCGGACGGGAGAACACUUAGAAACAAAUCGGCGGGAAUAUGUUCCUCUAAGCAAUCCCGUGGGCGCCCCUGUUCCUGUCAGCCUGCCUCCAACUUCCCUACAUCACAAGCUCUGAGCAGGAUGUGCCUUCCUGUUUUGCUACCACUCAAGCGUCCUGCUGCUGCUGCUGCUAAGUUGCUCCCGUCAUGUCCGACUCUGCGACCCCAUAGACGGCAGCCCACCAGGCUCCCCCGUCCCUGGGAUUCUCCAGGCAAGAACACUGGAGUGGGUUGCCAUGUCCUUCUCCAGUGCAUGAAAGUGAAGAGUGAAAAUGAAGUCGCUCAGUCGUGUCCGACUCUUAGCUACCCCGUGGACUGCAGCCCACCAGGCUCCUCCGUCCGUGGGAUUUUCCAGGCAAGAAUACUGGAGUGGGUCGCCAUUGCCUUCUCCGCUUAAGUGUCCUAGUCUCAGCCUAACGCAAGUGGUGCUGGCUGACCCCUUGCAAUGCAAAUAGUAGCUGCUCAAUGCACUUACUGAUCGGUAUUUUUAAAUCUUCAUAAACAUCAUAAUGGAAGGAUAAUACGGAGUUAGGAACAUGUGUGACAUUGUUAACGAUUUCUUUAGUAUUUAGACAUUAAAUGUAGGGCUCCUUAUAACUUUUCCAUCUUAAAACUAAAGCUAUUGAAGGAGGGGAAAGAAGCUCAAUAAGCGAGAGAUAUGAAUAUAUAUACAUAUAUAUAUAUAUAUAUAAUUAUUGGCUAAUUUGUAUUGUUGUAUGGCAGAAACCAACACAAAAUGGUAAAACAAUUUCCACCAAUUAAAAAAAUUUUUUAAGAGUACUAAAGCUAUUCGAAUGCCUUUUGCAUGCAAAGACAUAUUGCCACAUUACUUUUUUCACUUUUUUAGUAGAAUUCUAAAAUUGGAAUGACAAGAGGUUUAUUGACAUCUUUAAAAAAUUGCUUUCUACAAACUUAACCAUUUAUGUAUGUGUGUACUGCAUACUGCUACUGCCGCUAAGUAGCUUCAGUUGUGUCCGACUCUGUGCAACCCCAGAGAUGGCAGCCCAGCAGGCUCUCCCAUCCAUGGGAUUCUCCAGGCAAGAACACCGGACGGAGUGGGUUGCCAUUUCCUUCUCUCUAGUACUGCACACUAGCCUUCAUUUAAUUGCCAUAUUUUGAAAAAAAAUUUAAUGUAGAAGAAAUUGUUUUUUUGCUUGAGAGACCAAUGUUUUAUGUUUUUGUGUUUUUGUUCAUUAUGGAAUCUCACCUGUGUGUCCUCAUAUUGAUAUUCGAUAAAGACUUAAAGAUCAUUAAGCAGUUGUGGAACAUUUUCUCUGAGUAUCUCCCUCCUCUUUGAUGCUCUGCCACACAGGUUAUAGCCUCCGUGGCCUCCCAGAUCACCAGUGUUCUCAAUUCAGAUUUUUGCCAGAAUGUUUAUGGCUCCUCUGCCUGCAGCUGCAGCGUGAAAACCGCCUGAAGGCAGAGAGCUGCGGAGUCACCAGGUUGAUGUGUGUGCUCACCUUCACUCGAGGAACCUAGCCCUGGAGCCUAACACUGCCUGCUGUUCAGGGUCUGAGAACUGUUUCCUAUUUUGUUCAGCUUUCUAAUUCCCAAUAGUAGGUGAGGAAGUCUAGACGCUGUUCCUCUUAUGGUUGCAGAAAGGAGAACCCUUCCCAGGGCCCUAGAGUGGGCUCACACGUGCUGACAAAGCAAGAGACUUGAUUGGGAAGGGCAGGCAGGAGGACAGCAGCAGGGUGAGGAAGCCCAGGGGACUUCUCGCCAUGUGACAUGCAGUCUCAGGUUUUAUGGCGAUGGGGUUGCUUUCCAGGUUGUCUCUGGCCAAGCAUUCUGACUCAAGGUUCAUUCCAUGGAUUUUGUUCAGCUUUCUAAUUACCAGUAGUAGGUGAGGAAGUCCAGACACUCCUUCUUGUAUUUAGAGGCAGAAAUCACAUUUCAUUUUAAGAGAAAAUUGUACUUUUGAAUCAAUAAUUUUAAAUCGCCUAACCACACUGGCUUGAAGGUGUCUUUUGUUUCAUAUUUGUUGUUUUGCUCAUGAACAUGUUAAAAUGAAAUAUCAGGAGACACACUUAGAUGGCUUCCCCCCCCCCC